UGAUUAUGUUGUUUAAGAACAAAACCCAGGGCAAAAUCAUGUAAAUUAAUUUGUUUAAAAACAAAAAUGAGACAGAGAUUUCUGAAUAUAUCUUAAUACCAUUUUUAUUACUGCUUGCGACUGCCUAGGAAAUUGGAAUGUAAAAGCAGCAGUAAAAAGUAUUCUUUGCACAGACAUGAAGCUGAUCUUCUGAUCAUGAUCAAACAAGUGUUAUGAUCAGUUCAAGAGUCUUGCUUCAAUCUUAUGAGAUAUUAAUGCUGCCUAUAUGACAGUCUCCUAUGUUAGAGAGAAGGAGAAAGAGAGGCGACCUGAUCGAGGU